rnacentral:rRNA from 1 species
UACAGAGGUCUCAAGCGUUUGUUCGGAUUCAUUGGGCGUAAAGGGUGUGUAGGUGGCGCCGUAAGUCGGGUGUGAAAUUUCGGAGCUUAACUCCGAAACUGCAUUCGAUACUGCGGUGCUUGAGGACUGGAGAGGAGACUGGAAUUCAUGGUGUAGCAGUGAAAAUGCGUAGAGAUCAUGAGGAAGACCAGUGGCGAAGGCGGGUCUCUGGACAGUUCCUGACACUGAGACACGAAGGCCAGGGGGAGCAAACGGG